rnacentral:lncRNA from 1 species
UAUGACUUUCCGGGGUACACGCCACAGGAAAAAGGAAAAAGUCUCAGGUGGGCAUGCGUGUAACUCCCUAAACGCACUGCGCGUGCUCAAUUCCAAAGGCUAAGGAAAGCAUUGCGCAUGCGGGAAACCCACGCUGAGGGAAGAAUCAUGGGAAAGAGUAGAGACGGGGUUCCACCGUGUUAGCCAGGAUGGUCUCGAUUUCCUGACCUCGUCAUCCUCCCGCCUUGGCCUCCCAAAGUGCUGGGAUUACAGGCUUGAGCCACCGCGCCCCGCUCUUUCGUGUUCCAAAGGCUUUUUAAAUAAACUUCCACUCCUGUCCUGGAUUCUGCUUUAUGGCCCUCAGUCGAAUUCUUUCUUCUGAGGAGGCAAGGACUGAAGUUGCUUCUGACCAGUACAGGUACGCCGCAGGAGAAAACGAAUACAGCAGGGAUGACUUCCACCAGCUCCACUUUGCAGCUCUGAGGUGUAUUAAAAAUGACCUGGAAGAAGUCAUGCCACGGGCCAGACCUUAACAUUCCUUUCGGCUUACCCCAGGAUUUCAGACAAAGCUUCACUUUCCUAACCAGUCACAAAUCAGAGAAUUUUUGAUUCCACCUAUGACCUGUGAGCUCCUGCUUCAAGAUAUUCCACCUUUUUUAGGCCAAACCAAUGUAUAACCUCCAAGUGUCGAUUUACACUUUCGACUGUAACUUCUGCUUUCCUGAGAUUUACCCCUGCCUUUAAAAACCCUUGCUUGUAAUCCCUCAGGGAGGCCGUGUAUUUAUUAAUCAUGAGCUGCCCAAUUCUCCUUGCUUGGUGCCCUGCAAAUAAACACCCUCUUUUCUCCCACUGCAAAACCUCAGUGUGGAUGUUUGGCUUUACUUCACCCCCAGGAAAGCAGACCCAGGUUUGACUCAGCAACAACAUCUGUUUCUAUUUUUCUCUGUAUAAAUAUUAAAAACCAUAAGUACAUGCUAUCUCCAAUUCCAAUAUAAACCCAUAGGGCUCAUUCUGGCCUUCCCAUUUUCUUAUGUGUAAUUCAUUUCUCUGAAAAUGAGAAUUCGAGUACUCAGAUAUUU